rnacentral:rRNA from 1 species
GUCCUAUAAUUGAUAGUCCACGAUUAAUUAAACUUAUUUUAUAGGUUUGUAUAUCGUCGUAGUUUGAAUGUUUUAGAAGAAUGAAAAUGUUCAAGAUUUAUUAGGUUAAAAAAAAUCAGAUCAAGAUACAGCGAAUAAGUAAGGAGAGAUGGGUUACAAUAAAAAUAUUUAUAUAGUUAGUAUAAUUAACAUUAUACUAUAAAGUGGAUUUGAAAGUAAUAUAAUUAAGUUUAAUUAUAUGAUUUUAGCUCUAAAAUAUGCACAUAUCGCCCGUCACUCCCACUAUAAAGUGGGAUAAGUCGUAACAAAGUAGGUGUACUGGAAAGUGUAUCUGGGAAGGCAAAUUAGAGCUUGAUAUAAAGCAUUUUAUUUACAUUAAAAAGUUAGUUGUGAGAUUCAAUUUAAUUUGAAAUUAUUAAUUUAUAUUAAUUUAUUAAAAAAAAUAUUUUUAUUAUUAGUAUUAUUUUAGAAUAUAAUAUUUAAAUUAUAGUUUAUAGUAUAGAGAUAGAUUAUUGAAAUAUAUGAAAAAUUAAUUAUUUUAAAGAAGGAUUCAAUUUUUGUACCUUGUGUAUCAGGGUUUAUUUAAAUAAUUUAAUAAGUUAUAUUUCUCGAAUUAAAAAGAGCUAAUAUUAUAUAAAUUUAAUUGUAGAAUAAAUUUUUAGAAUAUAAUAUUAGAAAUGAAACGUUAUUCGUUUUUUAAGAUAUCUAGUCUUUUAAGAAAUAAAUUUACCUUAGUUUAUAAUCUAUAUUUAAUUAAUUUUUUAAUUAAUUAUAAUUAUAGUUUAAUAUUUUAAGGGAUAAGCUUUAAAAUAUAAUAAUAUAAUUGAAUUUUAUAUAAGAAAAAUAAUAGGAUUGGAAGUUUUCAUUAAAUAAUGUGUUAUAACUAAUUUUUUUAUAAUAUAAGAUUUAUAUUUAAAUUUAUAUUUU